GAAUAGGGGAGCCGGAGGGAAACCGAGUCUUAACCGGGCGUUAAGUUGCAGGGUAUAGACCCGAAACCCGGUGAUCUAGCCAUGGGCAGGUUGAAGGUUGGGUAACACUAACUGGAGGACCGAACCGACUAAUGUUGAAAAAUUAGCGGAUGACCUGUGGCUGGGGGUGAAAGGCCAAUCAAACCGGGAGAUAGCUGGUUCUCCCCGAAAGCUAUUUAGGUAGCGCCUCGUGAAUUCAUCUCCGGGGGUAGAGCACUGUUUCGGCUAGGGGGCCAUCCCGGCUUACCAACCCGAUGCAAACUGCGAAUACCGGAGAAUGUUAUCACGGGAGACACACGGCGGGUGCUAACGUCCGUCGUGAAGAGGGAAACAACCCAGACCGCCAGCUAAGGUCCCAAAGUCAUGGUUAAGUGGGAAACGAUGUGGGAAGGCCCAGACAGCCAGGAUGUUGGCUUAGAAGCAGCCAUCAUUUAAAGAAAGCGUAAUAGCUCACUGGUCGAGUCGGCCUGCGCGGAAGAUGUAACGGGGCUAAACCAUGCACCGAAGCUGCGGCAGCGACGCUUAUGCGUUGUUGGGUAGGGGAGCGUUCUGUAAGCCUGUGAAGGUGUGUCGUGAGGC
rnacentral:rRNA from 1 species